CACAUCCUUCUCGCCCUUAGGAACACUAGACAAUACUUCAGCGCUACACUCAGGAGCCAGUGAAAACAUGAAGAAAAAGAACAAAAAUGAGAAAUACGUGGUACUGAAUAGACCACAGAAAGUACACUUGUUUACAGUAUGAGAGCUGAAACAAGAAGGUGGAAGCAGACUGAAAGCGUAGAGGGAGGUUAGUGAACUUCUUCUGGCCUGUUCAUCGGACCCUUGCAUUUAGAAAAUAACGGUGCCACACUGGAGAAGAUAAGGCUUGAAUCUUUACAGUUUCCUAACCUAGAAAAGAGGAUUUUCAUCCAGAGUCAGAGGAGACAUGGGAAAUAUUUCGCUUUUUGGUCCUUAGUCUGCAGUCUAAUUCGGGAAAAGAUUCCCAGCUACUACGGAGGCUGAGGCAGGAGAAUUGCUCGAAUCCGGGAGGAGGUUGCAGUGAGCCGAGACUGAGCCAUUGCAUUCUAGUGUGGGCGACAGAGCAAGACUCUGCCUCAAAAGAAAAAAAAAAAAAAAAAGGAAGAGAUACUAUUGUGUUCUCUGAAUAUUUCUUUUGAAUCUUUCUUCUGAUCUGUUGCAUUCCAGGCAAACUCUCUGGACCAAAAGGGCAAGAAGCAGAAUUGAUGUCAACACACAGAUAAGGGUCCAACAAAGACAGUCAGUUGGUUUCAUACCUUCAAUAGGUUUCGGUACAAAAUGUGAUGAGGGCUUGGUUUUCUUCACUCUGUUCCCCUUCAUAAUUUGACCUUCUUUAUUGAGUCCCAGAAACCAAGCUCGGCCUGAUUCUUGCUGGCGGUACAGUGUGGAAGAAUAGAUCACAUAGUAGUUUUCAAACACAGAUUCCUUGAAUUUGCAUUCUGGAGUGAAAACAUCCUGUAGGAAAAAAAAAAAAAGACACAAAAAAGAGAAAUGAUUUAAAGGUGAAUCAGCAAAUGCUUAAAUCCAAUAAGCUUGAAAUCCAUGUCCUCUGUUAAGAACAAAUGAAAGGCAAUGACACAUAGUUUCUAUUAGCCUUUGGUUACAAAGAUUCAUCAUACAAAAUCAAAAAACAUGAUUGCCUUUCUAGCCAACCUUCAGCCCAGAGAUAAUAACUUGCUCAGGCUUGAAGCUACGUUAAAAUCAUUCAGGACUGUGGCCAAGUCUGCGCUCCGAUCCUAGCAAUAUGUUUUGUAAACUAAAGUGAUUGGCCAUUCCUCAUUUACUCACCCUUAACAUGUAAAUAAGGAACUAAAAUUUAUCCUGGAAAUCAAAAUCAAAUAUAACCACAGCAAACACAGGCACACAAGGUGCUUUUGAAGAGACUAUUCUGUAUAUACAAAUGUAUUACACAGCCACAGCUUGGUCAGGAAAAUCACCACUUUUCCUAAAGUCAGUAACUUCCUCUCUAAUUUCCUUAAAACAUUUUUUUCCUUAGUAAUCAAAAUCUCAGGUAAAAAGCCCAGGAAUAAUAGAAAAAAAUUACUAUUAUAUUGAAGAAAAUUACUAAUAGUAUUAAUUCCUAUUACUAUUGACCUCAGUGAAACACAGAAUGAGAGUUCUAGUCUCAGAAGAAACUGUAAGAUCCUGUACUUCAACUCCAGCAUUUGGUAAGUGAGAAAACCAAAAGGUCACGUGAUUAAUUCAAAUACACAUUUAAGAAACUACUGAGUCAAUGCCAGAGCUCACAUUCAUUGCUUCACAAUCACAGUCUCUCAGGCUCACCUUUUCUGCCUGAGUCUUGUUUAGUGACUUAUAAUGAGAUUUAAAAAUCAAUACAAUAAAAUCAUAUCCUAACAUGUCACAUGAACAAAAUGUAUUGUGUGGAAGGAAGAAAUUUCUCCCCUUCUGAGAUCAGCAGAAGAAAAACAAAUGCUAUUGCAUCUUCUUCAGCUGCAAUUAAACAGGAGUCCUACAUGUCAGACAUAUUCACCACAGUCACCAUCUUCCUCUCCAUGAACUGGAAGAAUUUCAGUGUGAGACUCCCAUGAUUUAAUGCAAGCAAACCUGGAAUUAAGUUAUUAAUGAAUAUAGGAAUAUUAAUGAAUAUAGGUUGGUUGAAGCCAUGUCCUUGUAGGUGAUACUCCCAUGCCAAUCUCCUUAUUUGUAGAGAGUGCUCUCUCUCUCUCUUUCUCUCCCUCUCUCCUUUUUUUUCUUUUUCUUUUUGUAAGAGGUGGGGUCUUGCUAUGUUGCAUAGGCUGGCCUCAAACUCCCGGGCCCAGAAGAUCCUCCCACAUCAGCCUCCCAAGUAGCUGGAACUACAGGUGUGUACCACUGCACCCAGCUUGUUUUUGAAUAGUUCCAACAUUAUAGACGAAGAAAAAUGAGACUAAGAAAACUGGAGUAGGCUGGGGUGUGGUAGCUUACCUCUGUAAUGCCAGCACUUCGGGAGGUUGAGGUAAGCAGAUCAUUUGAGGUCAGGAGUUCAAGACCAGCCUGGCCAACAUGGUGAAACCCCGUCUCUACUAAAAAUGCAAAAAUUAGCUGGGUGUGGUGGCAGAUGCCUGUAUUUCCAGCUACUCGGGAGGCUGAGGUGGGAGGAUGACUUGAACCAGGGAGGUGGAUGUUGCAGUGAGCAGAGAUUACACCCCACACUCCAGCUUGGGUGACACAGUGAAAUGGAUCUCAACCCCCCCUUCAAAAAAAAGUCCAAGAAAACACCCCCCAAAGAAAAUUGGAGUAGAAAGGUGGUUGUAGAUAGUAAGAUAAUAUGAAUAGCAAUAAAUUAAUAUUAUGUUUAUAUUAAUACUGAAAUAUGAUUUCUUAGAGUACUUUGAGUUUUAAGUAAAUGAACUACUAGCUUAAGAAUCAAAGAAACAAAUGACCAUGAGAUACUACUUCACAUCCACUAUAAAGGCUAUAGUUUAAAAAUGGACAUGACAAAGUGUUUAUGAGGAUGUGGAAAAACUGCAACUCACAUACAUUGCUGGUGGAAAUGUAAAAUUAUGCAGAAGCUGUGGAAAAUAGGUUGGCAGUGCCUCAAAAGGUUAAACAUACAGUUGCCACACAAUCCAAAAAUUCCACUUUUAGGUAUAGUUCUAAGAUUAAUGAAAACAUAUGUCCACACAAAAACUUGUGCACAAAUGUUCAUAGUGACAUCAUUCAUAAUGUGGAAACAACCCAAACAUCUAUCAAGUGAUGAAUGGAUAAAUACAGUGUGAUAGUUCUACAGAAUGCAACUGUAAUACCAUUCAAUUAUAAAAAAGAAUGAAAUACUGAUUUAUGUGGCAACAAGGAUGAACCUCAUACACAUUAUGUUAAGUGCAAGGAGCCAGAUAUAAAAGGCCACAUGUAUGAUUCCAUUUAUAUGAAAUGUCCAGAAUAAGCAAAUCCGGAGAUAGUAAGUACUGUAGUGAUUAUCAAGGGUUGGGGAAGGAGGUGAGAGGGAUAAGGGUGGAGUGACUGUUUUGUUGGAGGGAUGAAAUGUUCUGGGAUUAGAUACCGGUGAUGUUUGCAAAACUUUCUGAAUGUACCAAAAACCACUAAAGCAUGCAUACAUUUUUAAAAUGUAAAUUACGUGGCAUUCAAUUGAUAUCUCAAUGAAAAAAAAUCAGAUAAACCAGGUGAUUAAAGAAAGUGAGGGAAGGAAUGAAACUAUUGCACAUUCCUUGCCUGGCAGCACAGGGCUAUAUGAUAACCCAUGUGAAGGAAAACUGGCUCUUCGAAGGCCUUGUCUCAAUAUUGCCAGGACAGAGUUUAGUCAUUGCCAAGUAUAUGGAUAAAAGUAACUCAGAUUCAAUAUAGAUGAUAAUAUUAAGUUCUGUUUUUUUCCUAGGACUAAUAAAGUAUUUUUAAAAUGCUUAGAUUUAGGUCUGAAUUUUAAUUCAUUUUCUUUUAAAAACAAACUAAUUAAAAUAAUCCCAAAGCUUUUUAUUAUUUUUUUUUCUCGAUCUAGUCCAAUACUAGCAAACAGUAUUAACCCUAGAUGCUAUGCUAAGGAACUCUGGAAAGUUCAAGCAAUACAUUCAAUGUAUAAGAUUUCAGACUUUAUAAAGAAGUUAGGAAAAAAAUAAUUCCUGUUUUGUGUAAGUACAUAUCGUCAUAUAUGUAGAUGGUGAUAAAACCUUCUUCCUUAUGAAUGUACAUCACAGAAACAUGUAAAUUUGAAGAUAGAUAUAAAGCUGCUUAGUGAUGAUAGUACAAUUUGGCACCUUUAUCUAACAAGGUAACUAAAGCUCAUGACAGCGAAAUAAUUGUCCCCAGUGUCAUAGGAAGCUAGCGGCAGAUCCAGACCCUGUGUUGAACAACGGGCUCCUCGCUGCUGGUUCAGUACUUCUUCCAAUGCCACACAUUGCUUUCCUACUGCAUACGCAAUCCUGCUUUUGAUGCCAAGCUUGAUUUGGGCAAGCCUUACUCAUAUUAUAGAAACCAUAUCAGUGAUGUAUAAUUACUACAUUGUCAUUUAUACAUGAGAAAAACAACACUCUCAUUUAAUAAAUAACGAUUCUUAGGUUUCUGUUUCAUACUCAUUUAAAAUUCCCUCCCGGAACAGCAAAAAUCAGAGAUAUUGCACAGAAGCUGGAGUCCUGGGGUCCUGAGCCAGGAACCGCAUUAGGUAGGAACCGGGCUUUGAACUACUAAAUUGACAAAUGGGGGAUUUCUUGCACAGCAUCCAGGUCCUAAUCAGCAAUGAAAAGCCAAGUGGAGUUUUCCAUUCAGUAUAAUUCCAACAGGGCUAUGCAGAGUCAGAAUCUGAAAAUGAGGCAGCUAUUAAUACCUGACCAGGGCAAGACAUUUCCGGCUGGAAACAUGGCAGGAGUUUGCUGCAGGCACUUGUGUGGACACAGGCAGGCUACCCUAUAAACUGGACGGGAAAUCUUAAUGGCACUGAACCAGCUUGGAUAGUCAUUCUAAGUAGAACCUUUACAAUAUAUGUGCAGUUUCAGUUUCAAUAUGGAGUUGGGCAUCAAAGAAUUUACAUUGUAUUUGCUAUUAUGCCUCUUUUUUUUUUGUAAUGAGAAAUCAGAGCCCUACACGUGGAGUAAAAAAAAAAAAAAAAUCAGGGUUUUCCUUCUGGCUCCACACAUAUUAGCUGUGGAUUUUAGGUAAGUGAUUACAAUUCUCUAAAUUUCACAUUUUCAACUGUAAAUUGAGUUAUUUUAAGGAAAAUCAUGCAUAUGGACACAUGUUUUAAAUGUUUAGAAUUUAACAACCUCCAACUCAUUAUUCACUUUUCACAUAGCAGGAAAAAUGCAAUGAAUCCUAUAAUAAGGCACUCAAUUCUGGUUUUUGUCACAUGUUUAUAUCUGCUCCAACAUCUAGGACCUUGUGCCAUAAGAGUAGUUAAGGCAGGUUACAAAUAUAUAGACAUUUUAAAAAUAAUCUAAAGCUUUUGGUAAAGACUUAGACAAUCACAUAUAUUCAGAAGGGGUUCUGUGGUUAUAAAAUGUGUGUUCAGACUGACAAAAAAUCUAAUGUAUAACGGAAACAGGCAGGCUUGGGGUCAAAGGUGAUAAAAUCCCAGGCCACCUUGAUCCAGUGCAUAUAAUAGAAAGCAGAGUAAAUAAUCAGUAUAAUAAGGAUGAUUUUGUUUCUUUCGUAAGACUAACCAGUAGUCAUGUUGUAUCUCAUGAGUGUUUCUUUUUCCUAUAGUCUUGAGCCCUCAGUUCAAUGUAGGCAUCAGAGAAAACUUAUAGAAAUCUGCUGAAAUAGAAACACCCCCGUGUUCUAUUCUAUGUCAUGUGUGUAGAUAUGUGAAAUGAUAGGUCUAUUUUUCACAAUUAUUACUUUAAAACCUGCCCAUUCUUCAACUUCCACUCACUUUGACUUCAGCAGAAAAUGAAUAUUUUGAUAGUGUUCCGAAAUUAUUUUUGAAUGCUCCCUCUUUUAUCAGCAUUUGCAGAACUGAGUUUUUGUUCUAUCAUGGUAUAAGCCAAUAUUUGACCAAUUCUUUUUCACAUUCCAAAUACCUGUCCACCCUAGCCUUGCCUCAAAAGUUAAAAUCUCCAACUCAUUUUAAUCCAGAUGAUGAAUGAAUGCUGGAAUCCUACGUAAGCCCAACAUGAUCACUCAGGACCCCUUCUAGUCUCUCCCCAUCCCAUGGGAUUCCAACCUCCUCUCCCUAGAAUGCUCCCUGACCCCAGCUUCAUAGUUUCAUACUCUACCUUGAUUCCUCUCCAACACUGAAUUUCUUCCUGUUUCUUCUCCCUGCACAUAGACAACUGUCACACAGUUUCUGGCUUCUUAGGGUCUACCACUGCCCAGGAAAAGUCCUUUCCUCUCUAGUCAGCCUCUAACUGUGUCAGCUUUGGCCUUUCCCACCGCCCCCUCAUCUGAAUGGAAUUCCCCUUAAGAUAUAAACACCAUCAAGGAUAAAUAGACAGAAAUUUAGAGAUUUUAAUGAAUACUUGGAUAAAAUGCUGUAUCUUUUCAGGUUUGACUCCCACUGUCAACACUGUUUUCAUCACAUGCUAAUUUCUUGCAAUGCCCCCACUUCCUAACCCUCAAGCUGUGCUUUGCUCAAGCUGUUCUCUCUGUUUCUCUAUCAAAUAGGACCAUAACAGAUGCUCUUUCAAGACUCUUCAGGUUACAGCAAACUUUCCUUCCUUUUGCUUCUCAUAGCAUUUGAUAUUUCUUUUAGUAUUUAAUGUGUUCUGUCUUGAAUCACGAUGGUUUUUCUUGCUCCUAUAGCAGACAAUGUGAGCUUUAGUUCACAGGGACAUAAUCCUCUUCAAUGCUUUUUAUGAAGCCAAGCAAUUCAGCGCCCAGUUUAUUCUUGUUUAAAUAAAUGUAGCAAUAAUUUAAGUCAAGGAAACAGCAAAGGUUAUGUGGUGAGAUAGAACUGAUUGACAGUACUGAUUCAGUCCCUUUACCUGUAUGAACUUGGACAUGCUAUUUAAUUUUGUUAAAAAUCUCUUUUUCUAUUACAUUAAACUGGGAGCAAUAAUUCUCACAUUAAAAAUGUUUGAAGAUUAAGUAAAAUGACAAAAAUUACUUCCCAAAAAUCUUUGUCCUUCUUUCAAUAUCAAGUUUUUCCUACAUAAUUAGCUAACAGAUGAUGUAUGGUAAGUUUAAUAACAAAUAACAACCAUUCAUUUAUAGGUUGCAAGCAAAUUUUGUUCAAGAUGUAAAUAUAACAUUGUGGAUCACAUAAGUUAUUCAAGAAAAAAUAUUUUCCAUUCUGUCUCCAACUAACACAUUCCCCUUCUUAUUUUCUAUUCCACACCGUUAUAUUAUACAACGCCCAUGCUUACAUGUUUGAUUUACUAAUAAUGUUUGUAAAACUGUGUAAGUUAAAAGUAACCACUUACAAGGUCCUACAGAAUAAUUAUGUCAAGACAUCAAAUGAACAGAAUAGAAAAACAGAAUUGUCCAGGACACAUGGAGAAAUAAACAGUAAGUAUUUUCUGGAAAAUCAUUUGAAUUAUCUAAAUUUCUGAUUUGUCAUUCACUGACAAUUUUCUCCCUGACCUUUGGCACGCCAGUUAACCUCUCUGAGCCUCAACUUCCUCCACUGUACACUGAAGAUACGUUUACUAUACAGACUAGGAGCAUUGUAAUGAUCAAAUUAUUUAACAGAUAUGAAAGCUCUUUGAUAACUACAAAGGCCUAUAAAAUUAUUUGAGAUUAUUUCUUUUCACAGACAACUUUGAUAUUGUAACUUUAAAGGCUUCUACAUUUUAGUAUGACAUCUGCUCAGAAUAAAGUUCUUGAAAGGUAAAGAAUGUUAUGUGAUUCACUCAGAACCGCUUUUGCUCCCAUGAGCUUUACUUGCCAAAUGCAUGCUUUCCAACUCAAGUAGGAAUACAGCACUUGGUAGCACUGUAUAGUUAAUAUAAUUACACGAUACCAUAACCAUAAUUCAUCUUCACUCUGCUCUUUGCAGAUCCCUGUUUCCUCCUUACUGCUCUGGCUGAGAUAACCCAUGGGUGAAUGUACAGUCAAUGAGUGAAUGCUCGUUGUACUCAGCCACUGGUCUCCUUGCUGUUACUGAAACACAAUAAGCAUGUCCCAUUUCAAAUCCUUCACAAUCAAUAUUCCUUGUUCUUGAAAAUGUCUUCAGUAACAUAUUAACAUGGUUUGAUCUCUUAUUUCAUUCAGGUUACUGCUUAAAUGUAACUACCUCAGAGAAAGCUCCCUUGACUACCUUACAUAAUUUAGCACUACGGCCACUUUCUAACCCUUUACCUUGCUUUUGUUUUCCUUCAUAACUUGACCCUUUCUGGCAUUAUAACACAUAUGAAUUUGUUUAAGCUUCUUGAAAGUAGCUACCAUGAUUGCUAUAUUCUCUUCGUAUUCUCAACAGUUCUGGGAAUUAAACAACAAAUCGACUCCAACAAAAUAAUUUGGUGAAAAUACAUCAUAAAAUCUGAAUUUUUUCUUCCUGUAUAUCUCUAAGUUGUGAUCAAAUGGGAAAGGCCUCUUUCUUUCUUAGGCUCUCAGUUUCUCUAAAUGUAAAAAAGAAAUGCCAAAUUACACAAUCUCAAAUGUCACUUUUGUCUUACUUUAUAGCUAUAUUAUUCAUAUUAAAUACAUAAUGUAUUAAAAUUAAAGAGCCUAUAUAAAAUGUUGUUUCUUCAAAAAUAGAGCUUUCCUACCAAAGAAAUGGUGGUAAUAUAUUAUUAUUUAAUAAGCAAACAAAGAAAAAUUAAUCAGAGAAAUAGACUUUGCUAUUGUGUUAGUAAUUAUGACUAAUGACUCUCCAUAUGGUAUGUAGAAAUUAUUGAAUUUUCAAGCAUAUGCCAGAUAAAAAAGGGCCUCUGAUUUUGGUUCUAUCUUUCCCACUUAAAACCCCAAAUCUAAACUCUUUUUUUUUUCCAGAGGGAGUCUCGCUCUGUCACCCAGGCUGGAGUGCAGUGGCACGAUCUCGGCUCACUGCAACCUCCACCUCCCUGGUUCAAGCAAUUCCCCUGCCUCAGCCUCCUGAGUAGCUGAGAUUACAGGCGCCUGCCACCAUGCCUUAAUUUUUUUGUAUUUUUAGUAGAGACAGGGUUUCACCCUGUUGGCCAGACGGGUCUCUAACUCCUGACCUCAGACAAUCCGUCCACCUUGGCCUCCCAAAGUGCUGGGAUUACAGGCAUAAGCCACUGCGCCAGGUCUAAACUCUUUUUAAUGUAUAUAACCACCUUCUCUGUUUGCUGUGCCACCUUGUGGAUUCAGUUUUGUGUAAGAAAGAAAGGAAUCAAAAACAACUGGGGAAUCUUCCAACACAAUUUAUAUCCAACAACUCCAGAGACAGAGUCCUUUCGGUUAUUCUCACUGGAUAUUUGGCUGUGAAGCUUCUGAUUUGCUAACUUCAUUAAUGGCCUUUAGAUGGAGAGAACUUGAAAAUCCUUGCUAUAAUAGCUGCUACUUUGCUAACUCUGUUGUCACGCAUAAUGAUAUUAAAUCAAGCAAGAGAAAUAUUGUUUUCCAUCCUGACAAGAGGCAAAGAAAAUGCCAAAUUACAUUAUCUCAAGUGAAUUUUUUUGAAAAAAAAAUUGGGAUUGCUUUGACUAGAACAAGUCUAAUUUUAUAACUUAAAAAAAACAACUCUGCAGAUACGGAAACCUUUGUCUACACACUUUUGAAAUAAUUUUUACUGGAAAACUACUGAGCUGAUUCCUCUAAAAAUAAAGGUUCUUUGUUAACACAUUCUUUGCAACAUCUGACAAGGAAACAAGGUAAAUUUAUACCAUCAUAAAAUAAUGCAACCUGUGACGUACUGGAAAUGUAAUGUUGGAGGUAGAUGGACACAACUACUCAAUACUCAAACCCUUGAUUUUUGACCUUGAGCAAGUUACUUAAUUUCUCUGAAACUCAGUUUCACAUCUGUAAGUUAAGGUUAAUUAUAUCAUCACUGUAAGGUUGAUUUUUUUUUUUUUUUUGAGACAGUCUUG
rnacentral:lncRNA from 1 species